UCUGUACACAGUUGGUCCUCCAACUCCUACUUCUCUUCAUAGUAUAUCUUUGUGUUUCCAUCAUUUAGCACAUAAUAAUUAUUUGCUGUACUUCGAGGUCAUUGAAGGUAGGAAGUAUAUAUAUAUAUUGCUAUAUAUAUUCAUAUAUAUGUACACACACAUAUAUUAGUCUAGAUGCUAUGGGCUAUGCUGGGCAUUGGAGAUAGUUUCAAGGCACUCAAAAUGUAUUUCCUGAAUGAAUGCACCAGUGAAGGGAUUAAUGGGUUCUACUCAGUUGCUGUUGAAUAAAGAGGACCUAGCAAUAUACAUUUCCAUGUUAUAGGAUAUUGGAAGAUAAAGGAUUGAAUAGAUAUUUAUAUAUGUGCACUUCUUUGAAACAUGGCCAGAAGUCAAUAUCUUCUCAGGCCAAAUGGCAAUACUUAAGAACUGGAUAACUUUCAAAUUUGUAGGUGCUGGAAGAUACUAAGUAUGUUGGCUUAGUGGAAAUUCUCCAGCUUCUUCAAUUGUCAGAACUAAAUGCUAUUCUGAGAAGGAGCUCUGAUGUCCCCAUGGUAACAGGGCCCCAUUAAAGGCAUGACAUCACAAAGCUGUCCUUGUUUGAAGACACUUGGGAAUUUCAGGUGUUGCCGUAAGUCUACUGAGCUCUCUGGGUGUCUAACCUUGCCUUCUUGUCAUCAGCUAUUAAAACUACUAAAACAGAAGAAUGCUUAACCACUACAGCUGUUAAAACAUUAGUACGUGCUUUGCACUUCGGGUUUCAGGAUCGAGAACAUCCUGGAAAUAAGAGCGGAAGCAGAAAAGCCAGCAGAGCAGGCCAUCACAAUAGACGUGGCGUGAGAUGUCAUGGAACUGGAGCAGUUAAACCUCAUUCUCCAGGGUACUGGUGCUACUGCCAAGAGCGGAAAACUUUCAUCUUCCAAAACCUCAAUCAGCCAGUUUCUCAUCUGCAUCCCAUAAAUCAUCAAGAAAGAACAAGCUCAUUAUCUCAGCACCAGGGACAAAAGUCUUUUACAUGACACUGAACUUCUGACUACUGCAAAACAUGGCAGCUUGCCAUCAUAUGUUUAACAGGUGUGUUGGUCCCUUUAACAGACUGGGCCAGAAGUUUGAGGAUAUGGUCUGAAAUUUCAAUUUUGUUACGUGUUGUGACUUGCACUGGGCCCAAAUCCAGAGGUAAUUGGGCCUAGUGGUCUGAAGAGUUACUUGGGUGUUCUGUAAUUUUAGUAGAUUUGGAGAAAGAGAGGUGGGGAUGUCUGUCCCUGAAGAUAUUUUCUCAUAGAAGCAAGGAAUUACAGGAACUUCUCUGUUGUGUUUUGGGUAAGUGUUUCCAUGCUGCUACUCUGAAUAAUAGGGUAGAUAUUUCCAGGUACAGGCUGUUAAAAUUUGCUAUAUUACCUCCAUUCUGUAUGUAGUUCCUUCUCUACAUAACAGUGUUGGUUAGGUAGUGGAACCUUCUAAAUGACGCACUAUGUGAUUCCUGUGUCAUAUAGAAUGUUCUAUGAUUCUUAGCCAGAUAAUCAUAUUCCCAGAAAAGGCCUCUCAACUUUCACCUGCCUUUCUAAGGACUGAAAUACUCUGAGUGUUGCAUAAAGGGUGUUCCAAAUAUGGGCAUUCACCUGUUUCCUGAUUAAAAAAAGAUAAUUUGGUAUGAA